CCUCACUCUCUCUCACACGCACACGCACACGCACUUAACGCGUGUCCACGUUUCCCAGAACGUCCCGCCGAUGAGGAGACGACGCGGUGCGCAGCGACACCUGCUGGAGCUGAUUGUUGCCGCUUCACGUCCCUGAUGUCUCGCUGGCUCCAGAAAAGCAACAUGGCGACGGCCGGGAUCCAAGAUGGUGGCGGAGAGACCACCCCGCUCUUCAGAACAUCAGUCCCCCGGAUCGACGCGUGUCGUCACCAUGACGACGUCCACUGAUUACAGUCUGUGGGACCAACUACUGCAUCUAGAUGUUUACAUGUUUGCUGUCGCCUCCUCUGUGACGCUGUGACGCUGUCAGUGCUUCCAGACGGGAUCGUUGGGCUCCGCAGCAUGUGAACACGUCUGGACUUUGAUAACAUGUCUUCUACAAAACGAGGAUGACAGUUUAAAACAGUUUGAUGCCGUCGAUUUAGGCAAAAUAAAAUGGGAAAAAGCG